GUUUCUGUAGUUAAAUUUUUUAACGACGGCUUUUCAGGCCGUAGAUCUCGGAGAGAGGCCGAGCGGGAAUU
rnacentral:tRNA from 1 species